rnacentral:tRNA from 1 species
UCCCUGGUGGCUCAGAUGGUAAAGCAUCUGCCUACAAUGCAGAAGACCAGGGUUCAAUCCCUGCGUUGGGAA